CCGCCCUGCCCUCCGUGGCUUUGGGGAAAGGUCAAGCCGCAGUUCCCCUGGACAGGCGGGACUCCCGGCAGCGCUGCGCUGCGCUGAGGCCUGGCUGGCACAGGGGCCUGGGAGACAGGCAGCACACUUUGUCACUGCAGUCGGCAGCCUCUGCUCCGCUGGGGCAGAGGGAGGGUGGGGGGACAGGCCCAUGCAUUUGGGAGCUGCGGGAGGACCCAGGCUUCUUGGACCGGGGGGCCAAUGGCAGAUCAUGGCUUGGUGGGGGUCCCACCCCCAGAGAGGCUGCCCCUUGACCCAGGCCCUUGCGGCCCAUGCCUGGUGCUGCUGCCCUGGAACCCGCUCAGAUUUUCCAGCUUGAACUCAAAGGUCCCUGUGAGCGCCUCCCUUGGUCCCCACGGAGUGGCUCUGUGAUGAGCAGGGGUGUGAGUGUGCGCGUGUGGGCGGGUGCGCAACUGCUUGAGUCUGUGUGGGUGUGAGCAGGUGACAGUGGGAGUGUGUGUGUGCAUGUGCCAUUCCCUUUCACAUCCAACCCUGCUUUGCCAGAUUUCUCCACAUUCCCAAUAGCCAAGGGUCCGACCCCACUGGGGGAGCCAAAAAUGCUGCCCCCAGGCACCCAGCAAAGCUGAACGCCCCCUGUGCCCCUGUCCCCGCCCCUGUGGACUGCUCCCUCUCACCACUUUCCCCCCACCGCCAGGGUUUGGCCUCUGAGCUUUCUCCACAUACCCCAAACUUCCAACGCAUGGAGCACCCCCCGCUUUCUGUCCCUGGGUUGACCCUCUCCGCAGUUCACACUGCCCCCACCCCCACCUGGACCUCAGAGCUCUUCCCGGGUCUGGCCUAUGGGCUGUUCCGGCUCCCCACCUCGGCAGCCCACCAUCAACACCCUAGCCUCCACCGCGAGGCCCCCCUACACACACACACACACACACACACACUUAGGGCUCCUAAACUGACUCCCAGCACCCCCCUCCCCAGCCCACCCGCUUCGUGCCGCGGUCGGGUACACCCUCAUCCCCUCUCUGGAACAGGCACCGAAGGACGCCAGUGUGCGGCCCAGAGCUGCACGUGCUAGGCUAGGGCGAGGGAAACCGAGGCCAGGGUAGCCCAGGGGUAGGCCGCCAGGCCUGGUCCUGCAGGAAGCCGUGCACCCCGUGGUCCUCGAGGGAGAGAGGCAGGAGGCCCGGCUGCCCUACCAGCCUGGCGGCUCGGACACUCAGGGAGGCAGGGAGGCAGUCGGGGGGCGCGGCGCCCCAUCUCGGGCGACCUUGUUCUCCUGAUACUCCCGGGGGCCUGAGACCGAAACCGGGGGCCAAGCCCCGAGGGCGCGCCCACGGCUCGAGAGCGGCCUGGGCCCGAGGCAAAAGCCUGUACAAGGAACAAUUGGGAAAAAUGCUUGUCAGAAACAUGACAAGGUGAAUUAGUAUGUUUCUACAUAAAGAGCUAGAAUGAAAGAGAAAGAAAAUUGGGAAAGGGCAUGGAUGGCCAGUUCAUGGACGGUGAAAAGCAAAUGCAUUGAUUCCACAAAUAUAUGUGGGGCGGUCAUGACUUGUCAGA
rnacentral:lncRNA from 1 species